GAGUUUGAUCCUGGCUCAGAACGAACGCUGGCGGCGUGCUUAACACAUGCAAGUCGAACGCGAAAGGGACUUCGGUCCUGAGUAAAGUGGCGCACGGGUGAGUAACGCGUGGAUAAUCUACCCGAUGGACCGGGAUAACAUUUCGGAAGGGGUGCUAAUACCGGAUAAGACCACGGCUUCUUAGGGGGCUGCGGUAAAAGGUGGGGACCUUCGGGCCUACCGUCAUCGGAUGAGUCCGCGUACCAUUAGCUAGUUGGUAGGGUAAGGGCCUACCAAGGCGACGAUGGUUAGCUGGUCUGAGAGGAUGAUCAGCCACACUGGAACUGAGACACGGUCCAGACUCCUACGGGAGGCAGCAGUGGGGAAUUUUGCGCAAUGGGGGAAACCCUGACGCAGCAACGCCGCGUGAGUGAUGAAGGCCUUCGGGUCGUAAAGCUCUGUCAGAGGGGAAGAAGUGCAGGGGUGCUAAUAUCACCUUUGUUUGACGGUACCCUCAAAGGAAGCACCGGCUAACUCCGUGCCAGCAGCCGCGGUAAUACGGAGGGUGCGAGCGUUGUUCGGAAUUAUUGGGCGUAAAGCGCGUGUAGGCGGUUUGGUAAGUCUGAUGUGAAAGCCCUGGGCUCAACCUGGGAAGUGCAUUGGAAACUGUCAGACUUGAAUACGGGAGAGGGUAGUGGAAUUCCUAGUGUAGGAGUGAAAUCCGUAGAUAUUAGGAGGAACACCGGUGGCGAAGGCGGCUACCUGGACCGAUAUUGACGCUGAGACGCGAAAGCGUGGGGAGCAAACAGGAUUAGAUACCCUGGUAGUCCACGCCGUAAACGAUGAGUACUAGGUGUUGCGGGUAUUGACCCCUGCAGUGCCGCAGCUAACGCAUUAAGUACUCCGCCUGGGAAGUACGGUCGCAA
rnacentral:rRNA from 1 species